rnacentral:rRNA from 1 species
CUCGUAGGCGGCCCGUUAGGUCAGGAGUCAAAUUCGGGGGCUCAACCCCCGCGCGCUCCUGAUACCGGCGGGCUUGAGUUUGGUAGGGGAAGGUGGAAUUCCCAGUGUAGCGGUGGAAUGCGCAGAUAUUGGGAAGAACACCGGUGACGAAGGCGGCCUUCUGGGCCAUAACUGACGCUGAGGAGCGAAAGCGUGGGGAGCGAACA